AUUGAACGCUGGCGGCAGGCUUAACACAUGCAAGUCGAGCGAGCGGCGGACGGGUGAGUAAUGUCUGGGAAACUGCCUGAUGGAGGGGGAUAACUACUGGAAACGGUAGCUAAUACCGCAUACCAUCAGAUGUGCCCAGAUGGGAUUAGCUAGUAGGUGGGGUAAUGGCUCACCUAGGCGACGAUCCCUAGCUGGUCUGAGAGGAUGACCGGCCACACUGGAACUGGACCAGGGUCCAGACUCCUACGGGGGGCAGCGGUGGGGAAUAUUGCACAAGGGGCGAAAGCCUGAUGAAGCCAUGCCGGGUGUAUGAAGAGGGCCUUCGGGUUGUAAAGUACUUUCAGCGGGGAGGCGUUACCCGCAGAAGAAGCACCGGCUAACUCCGUGCAAGCGGCCGCGUAAUUC
rnacentral:rRNA from 1 species